GUGAACGCUGGCGGUAGGCCUAACCCAUGCAAGUCGAACGGCAGCACAGUAAGAGCUUGCUCUUUCGGGUGGCGAGUGGCGGACGGGUGAGGAAUACAUUGGAAUCUACUUUUUCGUGGGGGAUAACGUAGGGAAACUUACGCUAAUACCGCAUACGACCUACGGGUGAAAGCAGGGGAUCUUCGGACCUUGCGCGGUUGAAUGAGCCGGUGUCGGAUUAGCUAGUUGGCGGGGUAAAGGCCCACCAAGGCGACGAUCCGUAGCUGGUCUGAGAGGAUGAUCAGCCACACUGGAACUGAGACACGGUCCAGACUCCGACGGGAGGCAGCAGUGGGGAAUAUUGGACAAUGGGCGCAAGCCUGAUCCAGCCAUACCGCGUGAGUGAAGAAGGCCUUCGGGUUGUAAAGCCCUUUUGUUGGGAAAGAAAAGCAGCAGGUUAAUACCCCGCUGUUCUGACGGUACCCAAAGAAUAAGCACCGGCUAACUUCGUG
rnacentral:rRNA from 1 species